rnacentral:rRNA from 1 species
GUGGGGAAUAUUCCGCAAUGGACGAAAGUCUGACGGAGCAACGCCGCGUGAGUGAUGAAGGUUUUCGGACUGUAAAGCUCUGUUGUUUGGGACGAAAGUGCCUGUUGCGAACAGUUACGGGUAUUGACGGUACUAAACGAGGAAGCCACGGCUAACUACGUGCCAGCAGCCGCGGUAAUACGUAGGUGGCAAGCGUUGUCCGGAAUUAUUGGGCGUAAAGAGCAUGUAGGCGGGAAUCUAAGUCUGUUGUUAAAAUGCGGGGCUCAACCCCGUAUUGCGAUGGAAACUGGGUUUCUUGAGUGCAGGAGAGGAAAGGGGAAUUCCCAGUGUAGCGGUGAAAUGCGUAGAUAUUGGGAGGAACACCAGUGGCGAAGGCGCCUUUCUGGACUGUGUCUGACGCUGAGAUGCGAAAGCCAGGGUAGCGAACGGGAUUAGAAACCCUUGUAGUC